AGCGAACAAAACAAAGAUAGACCCUGGGGACCUAGAGACCUAAGCGCCGUUUGAACACAAGGAGACCUCCCACCCCCCUCCCACCCCAAUUUGAUUGUCAUCUUCUCCAGCAAACAAGGAAGCAGCCAUUUUUCUGACAUUCAACAACCUAACAGACGUAAAAUACAAACCCUCAACACCCCUAACCUCCUCUCUUUAACUCGAUACAACCUUUCCCCUUCGUCUUCAACACCCCAGAAAACGAAAAAAAUGGAGACCAAAUUUCGAGCGCUGCUUGUCUUCCACAAACACACAAACGACAUCUCAAAACCGCAACAGCCGGCACCAUUCACUAAAAUACCUAACCUAGGAACCCCUUUUCGAUUGUUUCUCCUUCUGCUUUAGAGUUUUAGAAAUUUGGAAAGGAAAAUUGAGUGAGUGAAGAGUCGAUUUUCAGUUUCAUCUUCCAAUUUUAGUUUGUAAAUGGGGUCGAGCUAAGGUUGUUGAAGUCGUUGCUGCCCGAGGUUUGCCAUUUGAGUGUUUGAGUUCACGAUUCCUGACUAAAUUUGCUGCUAAUUUCAUGGAUUAAUUUCCGGAAUCAAAGGCUUUGUACCUGUAUCAUUCUAAGCAGAAUUAAUCGAAUUUUUCUUGCAUAAAUCAGGUUCAUCCUCUCAUACUCUCUUAUGUUUGGGUGUUGGUCAUAAUAUGAUAAGAGCCAAUGAUUAUUUAGUACAACGAAUGUUGAGAGUGGGUUUAAAUAGGGUCGUUUCAAGACUGAUUUGAAUGAUUUACCCUCUCUAUUUUGGAUUUUUUUGCAUUCCAUGUGUUAAAGUAUAGCUUUUCUUUAAUGACUGAUGGCUUAUGUGUUGGAAUAUGAAUGACUUGUUUAGUUCCCUGAUUGUUAAAUAACGCAUGAAUCAAUGGUGCAUUUGGUCAUAAAUCCUUGGCUAUCUUUUCUAUGAUUUUUGAGUUCAAGAAAAAAAUAAGUGAAUCAAGCUGUGUUGGCUAAAGCUUGGUUACAAAUUAAUCUACUACCUAAGUUUUUUUUUGGCACUUCGCUCCUCA
rnacentral:lncRNA from 1 species